UGCACUUGGCUUAUCCAAUAAACCAAUUGGACUUGAUCCAAUCAAGCCCAAACUAAAUCUAAUUAAAUCAUAUUCAAUUAGACUUAAUCUCAGCCCAUUGGCUUAAUCAAAUUAAGCCAAUUAGCAAUCAAAUUACUAAUCGAUCCUCCUGCAAUACUUGCACUAGGUUAAAUGUCAAUCAUAUUGAUCAUUUAACCCUAGAACGAUUCUUAAUCGUUGAUCAACCAUCUGAUUGGAUCAUGAACUCUAAUGUGUGUGACCUCAUAGGUCCGAACCUAAACUGGUAGCAUAGAAAUAAAUUUUUGUAUCAAUCGAAGUGACCAUC
rnacentral:lncRNA from 1 species